UUUCGCUAUUUCAAAUAGAAAAAGUUCAGACUUCAUCGUUUUAAAUGCAAGAAUUUUAUGGUCCUCUGGCGGGGGCUCACCGGCCCCGGGGAGGGGACCAGCGGGGCCAUUACUAGCCGCGCCCCGCCAAAGCAACUAAGGGUACGUUCACAUAGGGUUGGGAGGUCUGGGGGCCCGAAGGCACCCCAAGCUCUCUUUAAUGAUCCUUCCGCAGGUUCCUAGGGGGCAAAAUCAGUACAAAACAUUAAAAAAAAAGGUGGGGUUUAUCGAUCACUUACACCUACGGAAA
rnacentral:misc_RNA from 1 species